AUUGAACGCUGGCGGCAGGCCUAACACAUGCAAGUCGAGCGGAUGAGUGGAGCUUGCUCCAUGAUUCAGCGGCGGACGGGUGAGUAAUGCCUAGGAAUCUGCCUGGUAGUGGGGGACAACGUUUCGAAAGGAACGCUAAUACCGCAUACGUCCUACGGGAGAACGUGGGGGCUCUUCGGACCUCACGCUAUCAGAUGAGCCUAGGUCGGAUUAGCUAGUUGUUGAGGUAAAGGCUAACCAAGGCAACGAUCCGUAACUGGUCUGAGAGGAUGAUCAGUAACACUAGAACUGAGACACGGUCCAGACUCCUACGGGAGGCAGCAGUGGGGAAUAUUGGACAAUGGGCGAAAGCCUGAUCCAGCCAUGCCGCGUGUGUGAAGAAGGUCUUCGGAUUGUAAAGCACUUUAAGUUGGGAAGAAGGGCAGUAAGUUAAUACCUUGCUGUUUUGACGUUACCAACAGAAUAAGCACCGGCUAACUUCGUGCCAGCCGCCGCGGUAACAC
rnacentral:rRNA from 1 species